rnacentral:tRNA from 1 species
UACCCGCCUUGGGGCUCGAACCCUAGACCACAAGGUUAAGGGCAUGUAAGGUUUGCUCAGGAAGCAAACCAAACCCGUGCUAAGAGCCUCGGCUCUACUAACUGAGCUAGACGGAA